UAAAUCCUUCGUCCUCACUCCUCACCUCAGUCUCUCGACUCUUUCCUGAAUCCUGAUCCUCUGUUGUCCUCGCCUCUCAUCUCCCUCCUCUCCUCUGGCCUCUCACCUCACACACGCCUCGCCUCGCCUCCUCCUUCACCCUAAAUCCCUCAUCCCUAAAUUACUCGCCGUUCCUUGCCGUUUCUCGCCAUUCCUCGCCGUUCCUCACACUCACCGUUCCUCGCCGUUCAUCGUGGAGCUCACGGCGGCGACAGUUUGAUUCUUGCUUCUUGCUUCUUCCAGUUUCAUCAGCCCAGCUGCCUCUCUCUUGUCCAGCCUGGUUGAAUCUCUU